GAUGAACGCUAGCGACAGGCUUAACACAUGCAAGUCGAGGGGCAGCACAGGUAGCAAUACCGGGUGGCGACCGGCGCACGGGUGAGUAACGCGUAUGCAACUUACCUAUCAGAGGGGGAUAACCCGGCGAAAGUCGGACUAAUACCGCAUGAAGCAGGGGUCCCGCAUGGGGAUAUUUGCUAAAGAUUCAUCGCUGAUAGAUAGGCAUGCGUUCCAUUAGGCAGUUGGCGGGGUAACGGCCCACCAAACCGACGAUGGAUAGGGGUUCUGAGAGGAAGGUCCCCCACAUUGGUACUGAGACACGGACCAAACUCCUACGGGAGGCAGCAGUGAGGAAUAUUGGUCAAUGGCCGAGAGGCUGAACCAGCCAAGUCGCGUGAGGGAGGAAGGUUCUAUGGAUCGUAAACCUCUUUUAGAAGGGAAUAAAGUGCGGGACGUGUCCCGUUUUGUAUGUACCUUAUGAAUAAGGAUCGGCUAACUCCGUG
rnacentral:rRNA from 1 species